rnacentral:rRNA from 1 species
GGGUGACUGCGUACCUUUUGUAUAAUGGGUCAGCGACUUAUAUUCUGUAGCAAGGUUAACCGUAUAGGGGAGCCGCAGGGAAACCGAGUCUUAACUGGGCGUUAAGUUGCAGGGUAUAGACCCGAAACCCGGUGAUCUAGCCAUGGGCAGGUUGAAGGUUGGGUAACACUAACUGGAGGACCGAACCGACUAAUGUUGAAAAAUUAGCGGAUGACCUGUGGCUGGGGGUGAAAGGCCAAUCAAACCGGGAGAUAGCUGGUUCUCCCCGAAAGCUAUUUAGGUAGCGCCUCGUGAACUCAUCUUCGGGGGUAGAGCACUGUUUCGGCUAGGGGGCCAUCCCGGCUUACCAACCCGAUGCAAACUGCGAAUACCGAAGAAUGUUAUCACGGGAGACACACGGCGGGUGCUAACGUCCGUCGUGAAGAGGGAAACAACCCAGACCGCCAGCUAAGGUCCCAAAGUCAUGGUUAAGUGGGAAACGAUGUGGGAAGGCACAGACAGCCAGGAUGUUGGCUUAGAAGCAGCCAUCAUUUAAAGAAAGCGUAAUAGCUCACUGGUCGAGUCGGCCUGCGCGGAAGAUGUAACGGGGCUAAACCAUGCACCGAAGCUGCGGCAGCGAC